rnacentral:rRNA from 1 species
UACGUAGGUGGCAAGCGUUAUCCGGAAUUAUUGGGCGUAAAGAGCGCGCAGGUGGUUAAUUAAGUCUGAUGUGAAAGCCCCCGGCUCAACCGGGGAGGGUCAUUGGAAACUGGGAGACUUGAGUGCAGAAGAGGGAAGUGGAAUUCCAUGUGUAGCGGUGAAAUGCGUAGAGAUAUGGAGGAACACCAGUGGCGAAGGCGGCUUCCUGGUCUGCAACUGACACUGAGGCGCGAAAGCGUGGGUAUCGAACAGG